AGCGUAGGUGGCCUAACAUGUCAACUGUGAAAACCCGGAGCUCAACUCCGGACUUGCAGUUGAAACUGGUAGGCUUGAGGACGGUAGAGGAAGACGGAACUGCCAGUGUAGGGGUAAAAUCCUUAGAUAUUGGCAGGAACGCCGGUGACGAAGGUGGUUUUCUGGACCGGUUCUGACACUGAUGCUCGAAAGCCAGGGGAGCGAACG
rnacentral:rRNA from 1 species